AGUCAGUGCAGAAGGGACAAUAAUGAAUACAGCACAACGCCACAGGGCUGGAAUCCGCCAGUAUGCAUUACUGCACACUACCGUUCUUUUCCUCAGCAUCUGCUGCUCAUAUGCAGACAUCCUAAGAGUGACGGUGCCAUCAAGCCGUCUGGUAGCCGCUCGAGGACACGCUGUGGUUCUGGGCUGUGUGUUCUCACCUGACUUUGGACCAAACCCUAACAUUUCCAGUCUGGUGGUGACAUGGCAGCGGGUGGAGAAUAACCACGUGGUUCAUAGCUUCUAUUACGAGCGGGACCAACUGGAUUUGCAGGAUUCUGCAUAUCAGAAACGUACUUCACUGUUUGUGAAUAAGCUAAGCAAAGGAAAUGCUUCAGUAAGGAUAGAGAACGUAGGAGUGAAGGAUGCGGGGCGCUACCUUUGCACCGUGAGCACGUCCAGGGGGACCGACAAAGCAUCGUUACAACUGGACUACGGAGCUUUAUACACAGAGCCAAGAUUAACCAUCAAUGUACACUCCUCUGACAUUAUGGUGCAGUAUGAGACAGAGGGAUUCCCUGCACCCGAGGUGACGUGGAAAGGAGAAAAUGGCAAAAACCUCAGCAGUCAUAUACAGACCUCAAUUCAACCGAAUGAAGAAACAGGACUUUAUUAUAUUAAAAGUAGUUACACAGCACCAAAAACUCCUCUCAACUUCACCUUCACUCUCAAAAACCAGCUAAUGCAACAAUACCUGCACAGGCCUGUUAGCUUCACUGGUGAACAGACCUCCUGCUUAACGGCAGCCAUCCUAGCUGUAGUGAUUUGUUUAUUCCUCAUCUUGAUUGCUGCAGUUUUGUUUUGGCGGUACUAUCGCAAGUAGAGAUAAACUGGAAGACUGGUAAACUAAUGACUUUGAAAGGACUGAGAUACAAUAAACUAUCCAGUUUAUAUUUUCAGUGCAGUGUGUUGGUGUAAAUGGUUCCUGAUGCUCCCAGAACUACAGUUUCACAACUUUAAUCCUGGAAUAUGGCCGUGCCAUCAGGGACGAAAAAACUCCAUAGAUGUGAUAACCUGGUCAUUCAGUACAUUUCGGUUGUCAGCUGACUUCAUCUAGACGUGACCUCCUGAAGCAACCCCAGAUCAUAACACUGUCUCCAGAGGCUUGUACCGUGGCCACUAUGCAUGAUGGGUGCAUCGGUUCAUGCACUUACCCUGACACGCCCAUCACUCUGGAAUAGGGUCCAUCACUCCAAAGUCCAAUCUUUAUGAUCCCUAGCAAAUUUAAGUGUUUUUUUUUUUUUUUUUUUUUAAGAUCAGCAUGUUUUUACUAUGUUUUUUAAGUCUUUAAGUGAUCUCCAUUCCUUAUUUUUUCCUGACUACAUUUCUUCCACAAAGUUGAAGAUUCACCACUAUCCUUCCAGGUUUUAAUAAAGUGUUCUCAACCCAAUUCCAUUCAUUUCAAAUCUUCUUAGUCGUUUUUUUGGUGCGUGAUACAGGCCAAUAGUUUUAAGAUAUAUAAAUAUAAUUUUUUUAAAUAUAAAAAUUUUAAUAUAUUUUGUUGUUGUUGCUUUUUUACUAUGUAGAGCAGGUGGCACGUGAUUAGCACUGUCGCCUUCACCUCCAGUGAAUACCUAUACAGGAUACAGUAGUAUAGACAAUAAGUAAGUUUGUAGAACAAACCUUCUGAAGAAAAAGAUUUUAAAGGAUACUUUCACUUUUUUCCGCUGAUUACAUUGUUUAUAAAAUGCUGAAAGGAUGCCAGGAUAUUUUUUUAAAAUGAAACUUUUUACUGUACAAAUAAUCUCAUAAUGCCUUUAUUGACAUCAAAGCCCGAUCAUAACGGCUUGUACAGACUGUUCUAUGUUCAGGGGAAUCACGUCAGAAGUUGUAAUGAUAACGGGAACUGUUUGUGCCUUAGAGAUAAGCACUUUAAUUCCUGUGCAUGGUUCAACCUUUUUAUGCUAAAGAUGCAUGAAUAUGCAACAUAACAGACCUUUUUAUUAUUAUUAUUAUUAUUUUAUUAUUAUUAUUAUUAUUAUUAUUGGAACCUCAUUAAUCAAUUAACCAGUUAGGCACUGGUGCUUGCUGCUCUGUUUGGGAUAAUAAAGGUUGCUGAAAUAGUUUACAAAAUGGUUUUACUGCUUGAGAUGAACAUAACAACGCACAAAUGCAUUCUUAUUAUUCCUUUAUGUACGUAGCACAAGUUGGAUUAUGUUGGUCAGCUAUAAGGAAAUAACGCGAGACUUACUAGCUAACCUCCCCUAAUGAUAAAUAAUUGAAAAUUACCGGUUUUAAGAGAAUCAAUUGUACUUUAUUUUAUCCUUUAACUCUUGGCCCCAAACUUUGAAAUCUAUAAUUCAAUAUCUCUUUGUUGAACUGUGUCAUGUUUGCCAGUGAUUAACAUCAAAAGCGAGGUAACAAAAAAGUAGCUUUUCUUUAUCACUUCAGGUAAAAAUGUUACAAUGGUAGCAAUCUUUUCUUUAGUCAUUUUACAUUUUAAACUAUUUGUUCAUUAAUAAUGUUUAUUUAUUUGGGGGCGGGCAUGGAUUUGGUAAAAAAAAAAAAAAGGGCACAAGAGGUACGGUAUAUUUGGGGGAAAAUGUGUGCAUGUACAGUACAGUCAAAAGUUAUAGCAAAGAUGAAAUUAGUGUUAAAAUCAAGCUGCCUUCACUUCCCUGUUAUUGAAGCAUGGGAAAAUCUGGAAAAAGAAGAAACCCAAUUAGCCUUUUUUUUUUUGUUGUUGUUUUUAGAGUGUUCGCCAGUAGUGUUUACCAAGAGGGUCAUGAUCAUUAAAGUUUCAGUUGCAAGUUUACUUUGCCUUCUCUCAAGUGAUUUCCCAGUAAUGUUGUGAGAAUUUAAAUCAUUUAAACAAGACAACUAUUUAGGCUCAUUUCCUCUGUCACUAAAUCUGUUAUGUUUCCAACCAUCGUCAUUCCCAAACAUCACAUUGAUGGACUUUAGUGGAUGAAUAAAUCAAAGGCUUUUUUU